rnacentral:rRNA from 1 species
UACGAAGGGGGCAAGCGUUGUUCGGAAUUACUGGGCGUAAAGGGCGCGUAGGCGGCCGAUCAAGUCAGGCGUGAAAUUCCCGGGCUCAACCUGGGGGCUGCGCUUGAUACUGAUUGGCUUGAAUGCGGGAGAGGAUAGUGGAAUUCCCAGUGUAGAGGUGAAAUUCGUAGAUAUUGGGAAGAACACCGAUGGCGAAGGCAGCCAUCUGGACCGACACUGACGCUGAGGCGCGAAAGCGUGGGGAGCAAACAGG